rnacentral:rRNA from 1 species
AACGAACGCUGGCGGCAGGCCUAACACAUGCAAGUCGAGCGAGGACUUCGGUCCUAGCGGCGGACGGGUGAGUAACGCGUGGGAACGUGCCCUUUGCUUCGGAAUAGCCCUGGGAAACUGGGAGUAAUACCGGAUGAGCCCUUUGGGGGAAAGAUUUAUCGGCGAAGGAUCGGCCCGCGUUGGAUUAGGUAGUUGGUGGGGUAAUGGCCUACCAAGCCGACGAUCCAUAGCUGGUUUGAGAGGAUGAUCAGCCACACUGGGACUGAGACACGGCCCAGACUCCUACGGGAGACAGCAGUGGGGAAUCUUAGACAAUGGGGGAAACCCUGAUCUAGCCAUGCCGCGUGAGCGAUGAAGGCCUUAGGGUUGUAAAGCUCUUUCAGCGGGGAAGAUAAUGACGGUACCAGCAGAAGAAGCCCCGGCUAACUCCGUGC